rnacentral:rRNA from 1 species
CAUGCCGUAAACGAUGAGUGCUAAGUGUUAGGGGGUUUCCGCCCCUUAGUGCUGCAGCUAACGCAUUAAGCACUCCGCCUGGGGAGUACGACCGCAAGGUUGAAACUCAAAGGAAUUGACGGGGGCCCGCACAAGCGGUGGAGCAUGUGGUUUAAUUCGAAGCAACGCGAAGAACCUUACCAGGUCUUGACAUCUUUUGAUCACCUGAGAGAUCAGGUUUCCCCUUCGGGGGCAAAAUGACAGGUGG